UGGGGCUGCAGGGCUGGGAGAUG
rnacentral:miRNA from 1 species